AAAGUCUACAAGAGAGCAUAGAUAAGUUUAAUCAGAAUUUCUCAGUCAGGAAUCACUUUUAUAAUACAUGAAGGAUUUAUUACUAUUCAAAAGGGAAGGAUCACCAACUGCUAUUAUCAUGCACAUAUGUUUAGACUCUAAAAACCUACAGACAAACAUGCACAUGUGUCAUUUAAAAUAGCUACUUAUAGUUUUGCUCACACUCUAGCAGUCACCUGGAUGCAAGAAAAAGCUGGGAGUUGGUUGGUCGGUUGGUUGGUGGUGUUCUCUGGGGCAUGGAGUUGGUUGGUCAGUUGGUUGGUGGUGUUCUUUUGGGCAGGGAGUUGGUUGGUCAGUUGGUGGUGUUCUCUGGGGCAGGGAGUUGGUUGGUUGGUUGGUUGGUAGUGUUCUCUGGGGCAGGGAGUUGGUUGGUUGGUUGGUUGGUGGUGUUCUUUUGGGCAGGGAGUUGGUUGGUUGGUGGUGUUCUUUGGGGCAGGGUCUUGAUGUGCUAGCCCAUCUGUCUACAAACUGGCUAUCCAGCUCCCUACAUGCUAGCUAGGAUCACUGUAUGUAUUACCAUGUUUGCCUAAAAUUGGUCAAUGAUAAGCAAAGGAAAGGUCAGUUGCUAUGGAAGCCUGUGAGCCAACCACUGAUUCUAAUUUUCCGAGGUAACAAUUCUUCAGUAUGAAGCUUAAAGCCACUGAGAAGAACAGUUCCAUCUCCAGCCUUUUCUAUUCCAAGGCUAAAAGACCUACAGGUGAUACAGAAAGAAAUCUGCUCACAGCUGACAACAGCCUAUGCCCCGGAGACCCCUGAGACAUCCCAUCAGUUCCAGGUCGGAAGCAGCUACACUGAGCCCAGACACUCGAGCCUCGCUGGAAAGGACCAUACCUGGUGCUGCUGACCACCCUGACAGCCGUCAAUUCUCAGCCCUCACCAGCCGUGUACUAGCUGUUAGGGCUGAGAGCUGGGACCUAGAGGGAAAUUCAGUCAUGUUUGUCCUGGGUUCUAUCAAGAUAGGUGUGGGAUAGGCUUGAUUUCUAUUACAAAUGAUAUAACAUUACAUAUGUUAAUACUCCUAACACUUCUUGGGACUGUGCCUCAGGGAUCACAAUCUAUAUAAGUUUAGAAGUUCUAAAAGCUAGUCAUGACCUUGGUGUAUAGGUUUAGAUAGUGUCCAGAUUAGAAUCCUAAUGCUAAAGACUUAGUAAGACACAAAAAAAAGGAGUUGAGAAUUACUUAGGGAUAGGGCUAUCUAGGUGCUGCAAGGGCAACACAAGGACAUCUGCUGUUGCCCUACAAUACAAGGCUUAUAGAAAAUUCAGAACUGCCAUUGACUCAGAUAUAAAAAGAGGGAAGGACUUUUUAGCUGACCUCUAAGAAUACCUAACCUCUCUCUCAGAGGUAGUCCUUCAAAAUAGAAAAGGAUUAGACCUGAUAUUCCUUAAAGAAGGAGUCUGUGUGCUAUACUGAAAGAAAAAUGUUGCUUCUAUACAGACCAUUCAGGAGUAAUUAAAGACUCCAUAAAUAAACUUAGAAAAAGGUUAGACAAAAGACAGACAGAAAAACACAUCAGAGAUGGUUCGAGAGCUAGUUUAGUAGAUCUCCCUGGAUGACUACCCUACUCUCUGCUAUAGCUGGGCCAUUAUUAAUAAUUUUCUUGGUUUUAGUUUUUGGCCCCUGCGUGACAAACAGGUUAAUUGCUUUUGUUAAAAAUCGAGUGGGUGCUGUGCGGUUGAUGGUUCUGAGACAACAGUACCAGUCAGUUAGGACAACUGGUGAGACCAAAUACGAGACUUGAUAUCAAAAUUCUAAGAUUAGAAUUAUUUAGUAGGAGAAGACGGGAAUGAAAAGAGAAUUAUACGAAUUCUAGGUUUAGAAAUAUAAAAAUUAAAAGAAUAAACCCCAAAAGGCCACAGACCCAGAGCUAAGCCCUACAGCCAGGACUAGCAGGCCAUAAAGAUAAAGGAGCACAGGAAACACUGUCCAGGCAGGACUGACAAGCCAUAAAGAAAAGGAAUACAGGAACCAGCCUGAGUUAAUGGGACUGAUUCAUGGGACGUCUGACAGAAAGACAUCUCCCCCCAGCUCACUCAGGGCCAUCCUCCAGACCCUGAUAAGCCCCUGACUUCUAACACGUACUCUUUCUGCUUUGUUCUCACUGCUAUGUUUGAAUGAGCCAAUUGUAUGUAACCACGCCAAAACCCCCUAGCCUUCUCUAUAUAACCCUCUGACUUUUGAGUUUCGGGGCCGACACCUCUGUCUCCUGCGCGGGAUACGUGUCGGCCCAGAGAUCUCUGUAAUAGGUCUCCGUAAUAAACCUCGCCUUUGCUUAUUACAUCCAAAA